rnacentral:rRNA from 1 species
GAUGAACGCUGGCGGCGUGCUUAACACAUGCAAGUCGAACGAUGAAGCCCAGCUUGCUGGGCGGAUUAGUGGCGAACGGGUGAGUAACACGUGAGUAACCUGCCCUUGACUCUGGGAUAAGCCCGGGAAACUGGGUCUAAUACCGGAUAGGAGCGCCUGUCGCAUGACGGGUGCUGGAAAGAUCUUUCGGUCAUGGAUGGACUCGCGGCCUAUCAGCUUGUUGGUGAGGUAACGGCUCACCAAGGCGACGACGGGUAGCCGGCCUGAGAGGGUGACCGGCCACACUGGGACUGAGACACGGCCCAGACCCCUACGUGAGGCAGCAGUUGGGAAUAUUGCACAAUGGGCGAAAGCCUGAUGCAGCGACGCCGCGUGAGGGAUGACGGCCUUCGGGUUGUAAACCUCUUUCAGCAGGGAAGAAGCGAAAGUGACGGUACCUGCAGAAGAAGCACCGGCUAACUACGUG